UCGGUGCACUGAAGUUUAUUACUUUAAACCUUGAAGCAUACACAUGUAGUUUAUUACUUUAAACCUUGAAGCAUACACAUGUAGGUCACUUCGGUGUACUGAAGUUUAUUACUUUAAACCUUGAAGCAUACACAUGUAGGUCACCUCGGUGCACUGAAGUUUAUUACUUUAAACCUUGAAGCAUACACAUUUAGGUCACCUCGGUGCACUGAAGUUUAUUACUUUAAACCUUGAAGCAUACACAUGUAGGUUACUUCGGUGCACUGAAGUUUAUUACUUUAAACCUUGAAGCAUACACAUGUAGGUCACCUCGGUGCACUGAAGUUUAUUACUUUAAACCUUGAAGCAUACACAUGUAGGUCACCUCGGUGCACUGAAGUUUAUUACUUUAAACCUUGAAGCAUACACAUGUAGGUCACUUCGGUGUACUGAAGUUUAUUUAGUAUUGUCAUUCCCUUCAUUUUUAACAACUGAAAAGAUUCAAACCAGUGUGUUUGCCUCAUAAAGGAUUUCAGGACUGAAAUUAAUGAGUGCAUUGGUACAGGUACAGGUACAUUAGGGAACAUUUUGUUCAGUAUCGCGUCAUGAUUCACUACACAAUUAAGUUUCAGAGAUCACUACACAAUGUUGAAACAUUAAACAGUAGUUGCUAAUCAAUUUUCAGUUGAACAGAAAUAUUGCUAAUCAAGAUUUUGAAAACAAAAUGUUCCCUGUACAUGUAGGGUGCAUCUUAAUAUGUAUUAUACUGAUGGAAAGAAAUAAGGGAACACAUCGAAUUGUAGACUAAAUUUAAUUCACAACUAGCGUAGUAAUGUCUGUAGUUCAUACCAAGUUGUAAUGUGGGAUUGAAUGUCUGUAGUGUUGAAUAUAGUGCCUAUAUGUUCCCAGUCAACUUCUGACAAUAUGAAUUGAUUUUUGUUGCAGUCAUUAUUUCUUGUUGCUAUCUGUGUGAUCCUUUAUUUCUUUCCGUCAGUAUAUUUAACUUUGAAUUGUAAAAUAGAUUGGUAUACCAGUGGUACAGCACAUGUAGAGAAAAAAACACAAAUUAAAAGUUCAUCUGAGUUUUUAAUUCUAUCUCCACAUUGUUGUUUUUCAAUGGUAAAUAAUGACUAUAAUUGGUUGGUGAGAUAUAUCAUUGUGGCCAUCUUAAGUGUAAAAUUAUAAAUUUUGGUGAUGCUUUUUUAAUAUAUUUUUUAAAACCAUUUUCAGAUUGUCCAUAUGGUCAUAUCAUAACACUGUUUUCAAUUUCUCUUCCCAUUUGAAUAACCAAAAACACUGGAUGUACAAAAUGUAAAAAGACUAUCUUCGAGUUGUUUUCCUUUGUUACACAUGUCUUUUUAAUAAGCAAAAUCUCUUAUCCAAUAAAUAUGCUUGUUUAGAACAUCAUUGUGUGUAUAUCCAGCGAGUUUCUAAUCCUACUGUUUGUAGUAGCAUAACUUCACUUUAUUUAAGCAUUGUCCGUUAUUUCUUUUACCUUCAUCGGGUAUCAACAAACAAACAUUUAAAAAUUAUCUGCAGACUGAGUGAAUUGGCGAAGCCGUUCUUACAUAAGUUUACGGAUCAUAUGUGUUGUUCAUACCCAGAUGAGCAUAAAAGAAAUAACAAACAAUACUUAUAAUUAAAUUUGAAUCAUACUUGCUAAUACUAACACUAAAAGUUCAUACUUCAUUUUGAAUUAUUUUUGGUCCACAAACAAUAAUGCUCAACAAGACAACUUGUCCAUAUAAAAUGACGUCAUCAGAUAAUAUGACGUUCCCUGACGAUGUAAUUUUUACGCUCACUGACAAAUGAAUAAAUUCACGUUGCUAAGUCUGGACCAGUGAGAUGAUGUUAUGUGGUAAUGAAUGUAACGGACAUUUAAUUAUUUUAAAAUAUAUAUUUGUUUGAUAUUUACGAAAUUAUUGGGAUGUGAAAAAAACCUCUUUACGCUACUACAUACAUGUAUAUUAGGAUGACCAGAAGAAAUGUAUUGAAUAUACAUCCAGACAUUAAUACUCUAAAUACGGAAAUGUAUUUAAUAUGUCAUGUUAGUACAGUAAAACCCCACCUAACGACCACCCCGGUGCUAAGACCACCCCACUGUAAAGACCAAUAUUUUAAAUACUGAGAUAUUUCCUUAUUAUUUUAUAGUAAAACUAACCCAGUGUAACAGCUCAAAAUAUACCCUUAGCCAAACUAUAUCCGGGGUUAAAGUGGGCUAGCCUGUUUUAUACCCCUAACCAUAACUUUUUAUUACUAACAUGUAUACAAAAUAAAUAAAUAAAUAAUCUGGACUAGAGAGGUAUAUUCUGGGCUAGCCUAUUUUAUGCCCUGGGGUAUAUUCUAGUCUAGUCCAGUUUAUACCCCGGGUAUAGUUUGACGGUUGUAUAUUUUGGGCUAUUAAGAUCACCCCGCUAUUACAGAUUACGACCAGUAAAGUCAAACCCAAUGGUAGUUUUCAGUGCAUUUGGACCCCACAAAUGUGACCACAUAAUUUACUUAUCACGUCACAUAAGCAACAAAUACCGCUGUAAAAUCUUGCCUAGGUAUCCACGCUAUGGUGUUAAAGUAAAUUCACAAUUAAUAUUUACCAAACAAUCAUCAUUUUGAAUGAUAAUAUUGGUAAUUUGGUAUUCGCACCACCCCGCUAUUAAGACCAGUUUUAAUAAGUCCUGCCGGUGAUCGCAAUAGCAGGGUUUCACUGUAAUUAUUAAAGGUCUGUUAGUCAGAAAUAUGUGACAACAUCAGCAAACUCAAACUCAGCACUUUAAUAAUCUAAGGAAGCAGAACAAAAUCCUUUAACUUUGGUCCAGCACAUUUUCAUAUUAAUUGCCUUUUUAAUAUUUGAAAGAUGCCAACAGAUGACCAUAGAACAUGGUACAUGCAGCCUACAGUAUUAAGCACAUACGUGUUUAACAUCUCGAGACAAAUGACUUGUUAUGCAAGGUGCCCUUUAUGAGUUUCACUUUAUUGUUAAUUUGACAGUGUGGUGUGUUGGCGAUUAAAAUGUGACAGGAUGUGAUGUGGAAAUGUUUACAAGUGUGUACAUACACUGUCGGUAUGUAGCGUAAGUUUGACAGCGAUUGAUUGCCGACCGUUUAGUUGUUAAUCUGACAGGAUGUGAUGUGGAAAUGUUUACAAGUGUGUACAUACACUGUCGGUAUGUAGCGUAAGUUUGACAGCGAUUGAUUGCCGACCGUUUAGUUGUUAAUCUGACAGGAUGUGAUGUGGAAAUGUUUACAAGUGUGUACAUACACUGUCGGUAUGUAGCGUAAGUUUGACAGCGAUUGAUUGCCGACCGUUUAGUUGUUAAUCUGACAGGAUGUGAUGUGGAAAUGUUUACAAGUGUGUACAUACACUGUCGGUAUGUAGCGUAAGUUUGACAGCGAUUGAUUGCCGACCGUUUAGUUGUUAAUUUGAAUGCACCCGUUGUAAAUUGAGAGUGGGUGGAAUUAUAAUGCAACCGUGAAGUUGGCCAACUCUGUCAUGACUGUUGAAAUGUCAAGUUUCAAAUUUUCAGAUAUGUACUAAACAAAUGUCACUGGUUCUGACAUGCACUGUAAAAGAAUUGUGCAUGUUUGGUGUGUGUGUGUUUGUGUGUGUGUGUGCAUUUGCGUGUGUUUGCAUUUAUGUGUGUUUGCAUUUAUGUGUGCAUACACAAAUGGCAAUAAACUAAAAUAUUUAAAUAACAUGUUAAUUUAUGAUUUGUGUGUUUUAUUUUGCAUGUUUUUAUUAUUAAGUAUGAUGACCAUUUUAAUGAUGUCUUUGUUAUAUGAGAAGUAUUGUCAUAUGAAGAUAUUGUAUAUUCAGUUUUUCACUGUAGGAAUGCAAUAAAAUGUCCUGAUUUACCUGAA
rnacentral:lncRNA from 1 species